UCAUUCUUCCUCCCUUCCUCCCAGGAUGACCGCUCCCUCAUCAACCUGCACCUGAUGCACACCAGCUACUUCCUGUUUGUCAUGGUCAUCACUAUGUUCUGUUACGCGGUGAUUAAAGGGCGGCCGGGCAAAGUGCGGCAGAGCAGCGCCGACAUGUGCCCAGAGAAGGUACAGCACACAGCUGCAGUGCUAUGUGACGAGAACAGGUGGCGCUCUCAGAGGGUUAAAAAGACAACAGAGAGCUAUUUCAGAACUUACCUGUAACACGGACAAAGAAACAGAAGACAUACAUAAACAUACCAGUUGCCUAGUGAACCCUGGAGAUCCUAUUAGGGACACAACAGCUCUGUGAAUGCAUUACUCUUGCAAUGUUGGGUUUUUCCAACCAAAGAUAUACAAGUGCCUGUAUCUGUCGUGUAAAUAUUUGUAGGAUCUCUGAUAUUCUGUGCGAAACCUUUUUUCUUUUACUAUUAUUAAGUCCCCUUGUGCCAUGUCAGAAACAUGCAGUAAGAAAGCAGAACGCCACACACCAUACGCCAUUUUUAUAGCCCUUAUUUCCAAAGCAAGAUAGAAAAUAAAUCCGCAUUUAUCACAGAUUUCAGAUUUGUUUUUCGCUGUAAAUGUUUGGAUGCUUCAAAAACAUGAUAUUUAGUCACUUGAAAUACUUAAAAGUGCGCUAAACUUAAUUGAAAAGAUAAUUAAUGGAGGAGGAGAUGCUUGUGACACAUUGAUAAUUACAUCUCAAGUGUUCAGCUUCAACAAGAAACAGUCAAUUUAGCAUAAGAGUGCAUACAGUCAGUUCAAAAGAACCAAUUAGUUUACUUUAUUGAACUCUAAACCUGUGUGUCUGCUACGUCAAUACAAGUGGAUUUAAGUAUUUCAAUGCAACACUUAAAGUACAGUUAAUGAGUCCCAUUCUCCCAGUUUAGUCCAUUUUAAAGGCAGUCAAUGAGCUCUGGCACUUCCUGUGGUCUGUGUUGUGAAACUGUUUUGGAGACAAGUAGAUAUUGUCUCUUAAAGUAUGAUUUUCUGCCUUUUUCUUCCUCUCCUCUGUGGCUUCAUCGCUCACCUGCCUCUUGUCUUUCAUUUGCCGUCUGGAUUUGAUGUUAAACAAAGUCUCGGAUACAUUUUCUCGCCUUACCCGCAGCGGAGUUUCUUUGUUUGAAAACACUCUCCGGCUUUCUUCCUCCUCUCUUUGCUUCUUCCUCCAGUUCGAUGAGCCUGUGGGUGGAAAUCAGACUUGUGAUUAUUGUCGUUUUAAAUGUCAAAUCAAUCUUGAGUUAUUCUACGUUAUGAUGGAGUUACUGGUGCUUUUAUUUUUAAGCAAAUCAUCAUUCAUUGUUCAUGAUUUCUUGCACAUUUUGCGCCACUUGUUUUUUGUCCAAGGUCACAUGUAAACAGUCGGAUAUUGAACUAUAUAAACCUUGUUUGAGUUCAGUUUGAUUAUAUAUUAGAAUAUAAUUACAUUUGUGUAACUAUGAUAAUAUAUUUAUGAUUAAAUAAAAAAUUCGCUAUGGGGUGUGAAUGAGUGGAAGUGAGUUUGGGAAAUGUUAAGAUAGAUAAAGGCGGAUUUAGAUUGUGAUCUGGUAUUAAAAAAAACUUUAAAGUGUAAUAUUAUUAUUGUUUUAAGUGUAAAUUUACCCCCUUUUUUUAUUUCCAGCUAAAAUUGUUGUUAAAUUGACUUUAGCGUUAAGGAUUCAAUUAAUUUACUUACAUUUAUUCUAUUUUUAAGAGUGUUAGUGACUUUAACAAUCAUUCUAAUAAUAACGUUAGAUUUGCAACAAAAACACACUAUUUAUCAGUAAGAAGCACUUUAAACUGCUGUGUGGACACAAAUAUUAAUCCCUUACUUCCUAAAGUCAAAAAGUAAAUCCAGAUCAUUUGAAAUCGUCUAAAUCCGCCUUUAAUAUUGGUUUUGUAUGAUUUUUCUUCAAUAUCAAUGACUGAUUCUUGUUACUUACCUCUGUUAUCACUUUGUUCCAUAAUUGGUACCUGUUGAAUGUACUUUUUUAUAAUCUAAAUCUAAGAUGCAACAAUUCCAAGUGAUUUAAAAGCAAUUAUUUGUAUUUGAUUUCAGUUUAUAAGGCUUUACUUGAAUUGUGUUUUCAAUUUCUUUGUGGCAGAAAUUAAUCUCUUGUCACAUGUUAUCGACACUUUGUACAUUUACUGUUUGAUCUUUAUUCAGAAUGAGUGUGGGUUUUUUUCCAUAUCGAUUGAUGCUAGCACAAGUCUUCCUUAAUCCUGAUGAUAUUUUGAGUCUCCCGUUUCCAUGGUUUUUUUGGGAAGAUCUGGCAGCUUAUUGGACGUUCGGAAAAUGUGUGUGUGAUGAGAAAAUGAAGAAUGCCAUAUUAUUGCCAAACCAUCACAACUAAUAUUGCUUCCUAUCCUUUUUGUUUAGACUUGCAUCUCAAUAAUUGCUAAAAUGCCUUAACAUUGUAAAGUUUAAUUUAAGUUUCACAUAUUGUAAAACACACCAGCUUUACGGGAAAUAAAUCCAAACACACGCUUGUUAAGUGCACAUUAACGGAGAAGGAGCUUGUCGUUUUUAAACCACUAUAUCAUCAAGUUCACUGGAGUACAAACAGGAGGCAUCAUCUCAGCAAAAAACAUCCAUUUGAACGCCGUCAUUCCAUCUUUUUUGUAAUGUUUUUGCAGCGCUUACAGGCGAGUAUCAAGCCGACUGUGUGCCUUCUGCACUCCGAGCUGCAUCCCUGUACAAACCGUAGAACUCAUCAAACUCUCUUUUUCCUCUCCAGUGGAACUGCUGUAAAUUAAAGUUUAAAUAAACUGUCUCUAAAGUUCAACAUCA